GAGUUUGAUCCUGGCUCAGAACGAACGCUGGCGGCGUGCUUAACACAUGCAAGUCGAACGCGAAAGCCCGCAAGGGUGAGUAGAGUGGCGCACGGGUGAGUAACACGUAAGCAAUCUGCCCUUGAGUGGGGGACAACGUUCCGAAAGGGACGCUAAUACCGCAUAACCCGGUAGGGACCCAGGUCCCAGCCGGCAAAGAUGGCCUCUGCUUGCACGCUAUCGCUUAAGGAGGAGCUUGCGUCCCAUUAGGUAGUUGGUGAGGUAACGGCUCACCAAGCCUGCGAUGGGUAGCCGGCCUGAGAGGGUAACCAGCCACACUGGAACUGAGACACGGUCCAGACUCCUACGGGAGGCAGCAGUGGGGAAUUUUGCGCAAUGGGCGAAAGCCUGACGCAGCAACGCCGCGUGAGUGAUGAAGGCUUUCGGGUCGUAAAGCUCUGUCGAGGGGAAAGAAGUGUAUUGUGGCUAAUAUCCACGAUACUUGACGGUACCCCUAAAGGAAGCACCGGCUAACUCCGUGCCAGCAGCCGCGGUAAUAC
rnacentral:rRNA from 1 species